AUGCAAGUCGAACGAUGAAGCUGGAGCUUGCUCCGGUGGAUUAGUGGCGAACGGGUGAGUAACACGUGAGCAAUCUGCCCUUGACUCUGGGAUAACUGCGGGAAACUGUAGCUAAUACCGGAUACGACACCUUGGGGCAUCCCAGGGUGUGGAAAGAAUUUCGGUCAAGGAUGAGCUCGCGGCCUAUCAGCUAGUUGGUGAGGUAAUGGCUCACCAAGGCGACGACGGGUAGCCGGCCUGAGAGGGUGACCGGCCACACUGGAACUGAGACACGGUCCAGACUCCUACGGGAGGCAGCAGUGGGGAAUAUUGCACAAUGGGCGAAAGCCUGAUGCAGCAACGCCGCGUGAGGGAUGAAGGCCUUCGGGUUGUAAACCUCUUUUAGCAGGGAAGAAGCGAAAGUGACGGUACCUGCAGAAAAAGCACCGGCUAACUACGUGCCAGCAGCCGCGGUAAUACGUAGGGUGCAAGCGUUGUCCGGAAUUAUUGGGCGUAAAGAGCUCGUAGGCGGUUUGUCGCGUCUGCUGUGAAAAUCCGAGGCUCAACCUCGGACCUGCAGUGGGUACGGGCAAACUAGAGUGCGGUAGGGGAGAUGGGAAUUCCUGGUGUAGCGGUGGAAUGCGCAGAUAUCAGGAGGAACACCGAUGGCGAAGGCACAUCUCUGGGCCGUAACUGACGCUGAGGAGCGAAAGCGUGGGGAGCGAACAGGAUUAGAUACCCUGGUAGUCCACGCCGUAAACGGUGGGUGCUAGUUGUGGGUUCCAUUCCACGGAAUCUGUGACGAAGUUAACACAUUAAGCACCCCGCCUGGGGAGUACGGUCGCAAGACUAAAACUCAAAGGAAUUGACGGGGGCCCGCACAAGCGGCGGAGCAUGCGGAUUAAUUCGAUG
rnacentral:rRNA from 1 species